rnacentral:lncRNA from 1 species
GAAGAGGUGGUGGCGCCACCGUGAAAGAAAAGCCAGAGAAAGAAGAAAAGAAAGAAAGAAAAAUAAAAUAAAAUAAAAAGUAAAAGCUCACCGGACCCUUGAGGCUUCAUCCUCUCCGGGUGUAGUCUGGAUCUUGACCUCAUCUCCUUCCCCUCUCCGACAUCACUUCGGAGAAGAGGAAGGGUCGGCCUUCCGCUGAUACUGCUCCGAGGUGGGAACCCGACUCGGCCGGAGGGUCGGGAAAGUCCCACACCGGUCGCCGACAAGAGGAAAGGGAGAAGACGACUAGGGUUCCGGUGGAGAAGAAGGAGAGGGAGAGAUCGGAAGGAAGAAGAGGCCGUGGAAGAGAAAGAGGGGAGCGAGAGAUGAAGAGGCGAAGCCUCUGGAAGGUCGGAGAAAGACCCCCUUAACGGGUUAGAUCCGAAUCCGAAUUCGCAACCCGUUAAGCCCCCAAAAAAAGAGAGAAAAAGAAAAAGAGAAAAGGAAAAAAAAAGGAAAA